rnacentral:piRNA from 1 species
UGCUGUAAAAGGAAACUGGUGGUGGGAAA